CUCACUCCCGCACUCACGCGUCGCCGCCUAGCUGCUCCCCACUCCGCCGACGCCGCCUCCGCUUGCCCUCGCGCCGUCGCCCCCGCUUGCCCUCGCGCCGUCGCCCCCGCUUGCCCUCGCGCCGUCGCCCCCGCUUCCCCUCGCGCCGUCGCCUCGUCUCCUCCUCCCCGCCCUCUCGAUGGUCCACAGCAACACCAGGUGAGCGCGAGCAGCCAGAGAGGAAUGGUCACGGCCCUCUCCCUCGGCGGCGCCGGCGCCAGCGGCUCCCUCCUCUGGAGGCCCCCUGCCUUGCGGGGUUGGCGGCCAUGCUCGCAGAUGACUCGUCGCCGGCGCCCUUCGAGAUGACGGUGGUUGCCAUGCUCAAGCUGCUCGGCGUCACCGAGGGCACCUCCUUCAACUGGAUCCUGCGCGCCAAGAAGGCCGUCGCCGCUUCCUGCAAGGACGACCCAGACGCCGUCGCCCAGAAUUGGAGCCUUUGAAGGAUUUGAAUGGAGCAUAUGUAUGCAUGCUACGGUUCAUCUUAGAAUUGGAGCCUUUGAAGGAUUUGAAUAUGGAGCAUAAUAUGUAUGCAUGCUACGGUUCAUCUUAGGUGAGUGUGAAUCUUCAGCAUCUGUCUCCUGUCGCUUCAGGGAAGAUGCUUUUAAUUGUUUUAUUGUCGAUGAUAUCAAUUUGGUAGCAGCCUUUGAGUGGUGGCAAGAUUAUGUGCAUAGUAUACUUUCAGCACUUGCAUAUCCUUGGUUCCUUGCUUGGCGUGGGAUAUAAGAACUUUUUAUGUUCUUUGGAUGCACAAGCAGCAGAAGUCAAACUAUAAUUAUGAAUGCACGUCGACUUACAGGGAGCUUGCUCGUUCUUCAGUUCUUUUAGCUGCGAUCGUGGUUCGGUCUGCAGUUCCUGUUGGCUGUGCUGAUGGCCCUGCCGCUGUGAUUGACCCUGAUGUCCUUCUGCAGCGGCAGAUGUUUCACGCCAGAUUGGUCUCGAUAGCGUGCAAUACUUAGUUUUAGCUUUACUGUGUGAGUUGUUUCUAUUUUUCUGGUUUUCCAUUGCUCCUAAAAUGUACAUUGAAAUCAGUGUGGCCGUAUUCAGAGAUAUGAGCUACUAUGUAGACAUUAUUUCAUUAUUUGAUUUUUCUAUGUACCUGGUUACUUAAUAAUCAUUCUUGAUAUUGAAAAGGGACGGAAAUAAGCUGAGUAUUGGACCUGACUGAGUAGUGUUUGCCAGUUAACACAUCUAUGUUAUUGGACCUGCAUUAGCCGAGUAUUACAUUCAAUUUAGUUUUACUUAUUACAUAUACUUCUGAUUUCAGUUUAGUUUUUGUCCACUGUGUAUCCUUCCGAUUUAUAUUACAUGAUUGAAGUAAAUUGUUUAUUCAGUUUGGUUUUGUUUAUUGUACAUAAUUCUGGGUUCUCUGAGAAGAUAUGUAUUAUGUUCCUCUUAUCAACCAUAUCUAUGAUUUUAUUAUUACCAGACUAGGUAUAAUCUCAGGUAGACUACAAAUUACAAAGAGAUUAAAAUUUCAAACCCAAAACUCAGGUUGAUUGAUACAUAGCUAUGGUUGUUUGCUGCAUAAUUUUUCUGAUUGUUUGCUGCCUAGACUCCAGUACGUAGAGGGUGUAAUGCAAAAUUUCAAUUCUAUAGCAUUCAGACCAUGGUUCCCUUUUUGUUACUUUGCUACAACAUUCAGAGUAUGGUAUCUGUUCCAUAAACCAUAAAAACCAAAAAAAGAGGAGAGCCUAGCUGAAACUGCUUUGUUAGUGCAGAUUUUUAGAAUUAUCAGGGAAACUGCUUUGGAAGUGCAAGGAUGUCUCAGAAGGUUGCUCUGAAUCACAUUCUUCGGGGAUGUGGCUCUGGUUGAAGCAGAGUAUAAGAAUUGGGUUGUUGACUGUGACAAGUAUGUCGCCAUUGUUCGCCCUCAAUCACAUUUUCCAGGUGCUGCUAUGUUCGAUGUUGAGUACAACAGGUUGAAAUGGUAGCUUAUUUCCUAAUUUUUUGACACUAAGUAGAUGUGCAAUCCACCUACUAGGUAUACACGCUCCUUCUUUUCAAUUACACUCACAUUCUUAUUCAUUUUCCUUGCUUUGGUGGAUUAUUCUAUGCUUUCCCUGUUAACCAUCUUCUUCAUUUAUUUUAGAAUCUUCUGUGUUUCAUGAUAUUUCAUAGGAUUCUAAUUUUAACAGUUUAAAUGAUAGUCUCUUAAACUAUCUGGUUAGAAGAUAGGUGGAAUAAAUACAUGGUAGUUAAAUCUGAAGCAUAUACGUAUUAUCAUACAUGGUCCGUAUACGUGCAUUGUUGCUACUUGAUUUUUAUUUGCAUAUGCUUCCUCUAUCCUAUGGGCACUCGUUUGACACUGCCGCUUGCCUUGCAGCGUGUCUAUUCCAUUAUUAAAAGAUGAAUUCUACAUCGUUAAAGUUCUAGAAAUUAGUUUGGCUAAUCCCCUGAAACCACGACCACGGCGGCACCAAGCAGUUCCUCCUCUUUGCCUCCCACAACAAAGAUUAUCUGGUCAGAACCCCUCUUCCCCCUUCUUUCUCUCUGUAUGUGCUGCUCCCAUCGAUCGAUUCAGACUGCAGAGUUUCCUCUGUACAUUUCCUCCACCCGAGACAUCAAAGGAGGGUUCAAUUUGAGGUUUUCUUCGGGGGCUGAUUAUUUUUGCUUAAUUUCAGCUUUGCCUCAAAAUGUUACUCUGUGAAUGAUACAUGCUAAUAUCUGCCUGGGAAUGGAGAGAACAUAACAUUUUGCCUUUGGGGAAAUCUGUUUCAUUACAUAUGUAUGUUAUGUACCAAGAGGUGGCAAGAAGAAUACUCUGCAUUGUACUGUACUGUAUGUGCCUAUCAAUUUAUGUACCAAUGGUUUGAGUUGUGAGUUUACAAUUUCCAUUUGCUUUAACCACAUUCUGAUAACUCUCUUAAGAUGGCCCCUGCUUUCUAUCUUGAUUUCGUUGCAAACGAGUGGCUUCGAUGCAGUAAAAAGUAGACCAAAACAAUAGAACUAGGUCCUAAUUCAGGGCUAUGUAUGCACACACCUCAUUAUUACUGAUUUGAAACCAUCGUCUUAUUUUGUUGUCUACACGGUGGUGGCUUGAAGAAGGGCCUUUCCAAGACUGAAUUGGCGAAUGUCGGCAUACGCAAGCCUCUGUUCUUAGAUGAUGCUUCUAAGAUUUCUAGGAUUCAAGGUCCCCUGACCCUGGCCAAGGACUAUGACAUGGAGUGACCUGUUAGUGUUGUUGACACAUCUUCUCUACUUUAUCUUGUAUGCUCUUGUGUCUACGAAGGGAGCUCUUCUCCACGAUGCCGGUGACUAGCGCACGCGGUCUCCGUUUGAUCGUAUCCCCGGCAAGUAAGGUAGAUCAUGUACAUCUUGCUGCUCUGAAUUUGUCUUCAUGCUGAACAGAAAUAGGAUUUUUAUUUUGUUCAUGCUGAACAGAAAGUGUCAGCACUGUGAUUUCUAGCUAGAGCUAGGGAAUCUAGACACUUUACUUCUGGCUAGAGCACUCUUUUGUACAGAACUAGGGAAAUUAGGUUUCUGUUUUUUUAAAAUACAUUCAUCUUAUUAAUUGUUAAAGGGAAAACAUAGCUACAAAUACCAUAUAACUUACCAAGUUCUGGUUUCAGGUCUUGUCAGAUUGUUUCCAACUCUUUUUUCUUAUGUUCUGCAAAUAAUUUAGGAGCAACCAACAUUGUUUGUUUUGCUCACGAGUAUGUGUAUAUAUGUAAAGAAAGUCUAUGAUAGUUUCUGUUAUGAUAUACACAACAGUAAGAUGUGUUGUUUGUUUUUAGUCUCAAUUGUGUGUUUCCUAUGCCUCUCUUAUGCUCACCGAGCCACAGUUACUACAUGCUUGGUUCUGACAAGGCUUUAUUUCUGGUCUACAACCCUUUGUCUAGAAUGGUGUUUGUUUGUUUACCGUCGAUUGGUUCUAUAUAUAGAUUUAUAUUUGUGUAGUCUAUUUAUGUUGCUGAUUAACUUAUGCAGACCUCGGCUUGAUCGCAUUGUCUUGCCUAUCAUCUUGCUAUUCCCUGUAGAAUAUGAUGUCCUUCGUUCUUUGUUUUUUGUUAGAAUUUCUGUGCCAUGUGUUUGUUGGCCUUUUCAUGGUUACUCAAAUUAUCACGAUUGCUAUGUGUUUUUUGGCCUUUUCAUGGUUAUUCCUUAAAUUAUCACAUGCUUUUGUACGCACUGGACCAUUCCUUAUUCAUUGUUUAUGGAGUCCAUCUGCAUUGUUUCGAUAUAGUGAGUGCUUCUUUUUAGUUCAGUGCUAAUUGAAAUUGUGCAUAUAAAUAAGCUUUGAAUUAGUCGAUGUUCUUUGGCACUUGAAGCUGCGGUAGUGCUAUUCCUCCUGUCCUACGACCUGCUGAUAGGUUAUUUGUUAGCAGACCAUCCUCAAAUAAUAUGAUCUCAAACUGGGUAAAUCCUUCAGCAAGUAGAUAGUUCUGGAGAGUAAGAUGAUAGAUAACACCUGGGCUCCAUGUUUGCUCAACACAAAGAAAUCGCUUAUGUGUCUUCGGCUUCGACACUACGCAUAGGAAGCCGCUGCUGAUAAUCCAAACUUUGAAAAGGUUAGUUCAAGGUUCAUAAGUCCGUUGUCAAUGGAGAAAAUGUUAUCUGUUUCAAGUGACUGAACAAACUAUAGAUAGCAGGUUCAUGUGUUGCGGCAUAUGAAAGGUUGAAUGUCAAGACGAUCAGGUUAUUUCCAAAAAAUAUGCUUCUAUGGAACUACAUAGGUUCUUUGUCUCGCAUUGCCGCUGUGGUGAUUUUGCUGUAUAAAAAGUACAUUGUCUGUAUCAAACUUGAUGUGAAUUGAUCGUCCGGUCUUGCUUUUGGAAAAGUAUAUAUUUAUAUUCCUCA